AACGAACGCUGGCGGCAUGCCUAACACAUGCAAGUCGAACGAUCCCUUCGGGGAUAGUGGCGCACGGGUGCGUAACGCGUGGGAACCUGCCCUUAGGUUCGGAAUAACUCAGAGAAAUUUGAGCUAAUACCGGAUAAUGUCUUCGGACCAAAGAUUUAUCGCCUUUGGAUGGGCCCGCGUUGGAUUAGCUAGUUGGAGGGGUAAAGGCCUACCAAGGCGACGAUCCAUAGCUGGUCUGAGAGGAUGAUCAGCCACACUGGGACUGAGACACGGCCCAGACUCCUACGGGAGGCAGCAGUGGGGAAUAUUGGACAAUGGGCGAAAGCCUGAUCCAGCAAUGCCGCGUGAGUGAUGAAGGCCUUAGGGUUGUAAAGCUCUUUUACCCGGGAUGAUAAUGACAGUACCGGGAGAAUAAGCCCCGGCUAACUCCGUG
rnacentral:rRNA from 1 species